rnacentral:ncRNA from 1 species
UGAAUUAAAGGUCGUAUAUAUUCAAUAUAGUAUGGUUUGAACGUCUCUACCUUGUUGCCUAUAAAAACAAGACUACGACUCAUAUAAUUUUU